rnacentral:misc_RNA from 1 species
CCCAAACCUUGUAUAAAUGCUCCUUCAAUCUGUCCAACAUCAAUGGCUGGAUUGAGCGAAUAUCCAAGAUCCAAGAUAAUAUUUGCUGCCCUGGUGUGGAAAUCUCCAGUCAAUGUGUCAAUUUCAACCUCAGCAAAGGCAGCCCCAUAGGUGAAGUACCUAAAUGGGUUUCCCUUUCCAGUUCUCCAGUCAAAGCCAAUCUCAGGUGUGAUGUAAAAUCCAUGAGCAGAAAGGUCUAUUCGCUGAAUGUAGCAUGCACUUGCCAGCUCAGCAAAUGAGCUGAAAUUAUGUUUGGAAGCAACAGGCUCCAUCCGUGCCUUUAUCUGCUCACAGGCGUCCAAUACUGCUGCUCCAUACAUAUCAGAGCUUGCUGAAGCUGCUGUUGGUGAUGCGUUAGGUACCUUGUCAGUGCUUGUCUCUGAUAUGAACACAGAACUGAGAGGGAUAUUAAAGGCAGAAGCAGCAACUUGAGCUACUUUUGUGUGUAAACCUUGCCCCAUCUCAACUCCUCCAUGUGUAACUAAAACAGUUCCAUCUGUAUAAACAUGAACCAGAGCACCUGCCUGGUUCAUCAGCUUUGUUGUAAAUGAUAUGCCAAAUUUCGUUGGAACCAUAGCAACACCACGCUUCUUCCAGCGAUUAUGAAGAUUAAAUUGGUUAGUGUCUUCAUGAGCCUUUAAAAGGUUGCAAGAUAACUUCAGUUCAUUCCAGAGCUGGGUCAGUGUACAGUAUUGAAGUUGUUGUCCAUAAUGCAUUACAGAUCCAUCACCUUGGAAAUUGAUUUCCCUUAUCUCUUCUGGGCUUUUGUUAAGUUCUACAGCAAUUCUUUGAAUCCAAUUCUCAGUUAUAAGCAUCCCUUGAGGGCCCCCAAAUCCUCGGAAGGCAGUGUGACUAGGAAAAUUGGUAAAGCAGACCCUUCCCAGUAUUCUGAUAUUUGGUAUCUCAUAGACAUUGUCAGAAUGAAACAUGGCACGUUCAAGAACAGCAAGAGAUAGGUCCAGAGAAUUCCCAGCAUUAUUGUAGAUUUUAAGAUCCACGGCAAGGACUUUUCCCUCAUUUGUAAAUCCAACCUUGUACUUUCCAAGAAAGCUAUGGCGCUGCCCAGUAAUCAUCAUGUCUAUAUCUCUGUCUAAAAUGAUUUUCACUGGCCGAUUCAAUAGAUAUGAUGGGACAGAAGCCGCAGCAGCAAGAAAAGCUGAUCUUGUCUCCUUUCCACCAAAUCCACCACCAAUUCUUUUGGUUUUACAAACAACUUUUGACAUUGGAAGGCCAAGAACAUGAGCCACAUACUUCUGGUGCUUCUGAGGUGCUUGGGUAGAUGAAAUCAUAUGAACUUC